rnacentral:rRNA from 1 species
CUACGGGAGGCAGCAGUAGGGAAUCUUCGGCAAUGGACGAAAGUCUGACCGAGCAACGCCGCGUGAGUGAAGAAGGUUUUCGGAUCGUAAAACUCUGUUGUUAGAGAAGAACGUUGUGUAGAGUGGAAAAUUACACAAGUGACGGUAUCUAACCAGAAAGGGACGGCUAACUACGUGCCAGCAGCCGCGGUAA